rnacentral:tRNA from 1 species
GGGGAUUUGGCUCAGCGGCAUAAGCGCCUGCCUUGCAAGCACGUGGUCAUGUGUUCAAUCCCCG